UUCGCGGCCCUUAUCAGCUUGUUGGUGGGGUAAUGGCCUACCAAGGCGACGACGGGUAGCCGGCCUGAGAGGGCGACCGGCCACACUGGGACUGAGACACGGCCCAGACUCCUACGGGAGGCAGCAGUGGGGAAUAUUGCACAAUGGGCGAAAGCCUGAUGCAGCGACGCCGCGUGAGGGAUGACGGCCUUCGGGUUGUAAACCUCUUUCAGCAGGGAAGAAGCGCAAGUGACGGUACCUGCAGAAGAAGCGCCGGCUAACUACGUGCCAGCAGCCGCGGUAAUACGUAGGGCGCAAGCGUUGUCCGGAAUUAUUGGGCGUAAAGAGCUCGUAGGCGGCUUGUCACGUCGGAUGUGAAAGCCCGGGGCUUAACCCCGGGUCUGCAUUCGAUACGGGCUAGCUAGAGUGUGGUAGGGGAGAUCGGAAUUCCUGGUGUAGCGGUGAAAUGCGCAGAUAUCAGGAGGAACACCGGUGGCGAAGGCGGAUCUCUGGGCCAUUACUGACGCUGAGGAGCGAAAGCGUGGGGAGCGAACAGGAUUAGAUACCCUGGUAGUCCACGCCGUAAACGUUGGGAACUAGGUGUUGGCGACAUUCCACGUCGUCGGUGCCGCAGCUAACGCAUUAAGUUCCCCGCCUGGGGAAGUACGGAA
rnacentral:rRNA from 2 species